UACGUAGGGGGCAAGCGUUGUCCGGAAUCAUUGGGCGUAAAGAGCGCGUAGGCGGCCCUGUAAGUCCGCUGUGAAAGUCAAGGGCUCAACCCUUGAAUGCCGGUGGAUACUGUCGGGCUCGAGUCCGGAAGAGGCGAGUGGAAUUCCUGGUGUAGCGGUGAAAUGCGCAGAUAUCAGGAGGAACACCAAUGGCGAAGGCAGCUCGCUGGGACGUGACUGACGCUGAGACGCGAAAGCGUGGGGAGCAAACAGG
rnacentral:rRNA from 1 species